GACGAACGCUGGCGGCGUGCUUAACACAUGCAAGUCGAACGGAAAGGCCCUGCUUUUGUGGGGUGCUCGAGUGGCGAACGGGUGAGUAACACGUGAGUAACCUGCCCUUGACUUUGGGAUAACUUCAGGAAACUGGGGCUAAUACCGGAUAGGAGCUCCUGCUGCAUGGUGGGGGUUGGAAAGUUUCGGCGGUUGGGGAUGGACUCGCGGCUUAUCAGCUUGUUGGUGGGGUAGUGGCUUACCAAGGCUUUGACGGGUAGCCGGCCUGAGAGGGUGCCCGGCCCCAGUGGCCCACGGGAGCCGCCCGUAGCCCCUGGGGGGCAAGGGGCGGGAGACUUACGGAGAAGGGCGGAGCCAGUGAUGACGAACCCCGGUUCGGGAAACACGGUUUUCGGGGUAGAACCCGUUUUCGCCUGACACGGAGCGUGUGUGCGGUAACUGGGCAAAAAGCCACGGCUAACUUCCUG
rnacentral:rRNA from 1 species